rnacentral:lncRNA from 1 species
GGAAACGGCCUGGUUCUGAGAACUUGGUCCAAUGGUCCUUUCUGCUGAAGGAAAUGGGUACUUCGGACCACUUUAGCGGUGUUGGAUCUGUUGGUUCGAUGGCCAUGAUUUCCCUGAGUACGAGUUUGUUGGCUCGCUUAGAUGCGGUGCUUGGGAUUCCGCCAAAGAUGACGUUGACAGUUUUUGAGGUGGUCUGGAAGUCGGCCUCUUCUUCUUCGUCGUUGUGGACUUU